UACGUAGGGGCGAGCGUUGUCCGGAUUAUUGGCGUAAGAGCGUGUAGGCGGUUCGGUAAGUCUGUCGUGAAAUCCUGAGGCUCAACCUCGGACGUGCGAUGGAUACUGCCGGGCAGAGGAUGGUAGAGGCGAGUGGAAUUCCCGGUGUAGCGGUGAAAUGCGCAGAUAUCGGGAGGAACACCAGAGCGAAGGCGGCUCGCUGGGCCAUUCCUGACGCUGAGACGCGAAAGCUAGGGGAGCGAACGAGG
rnacentral:rRNA from 1 species